GGAAGGAAGGCUGAGAGGUCUUUGCCCGGAAUGUUCCGUGCUCGAGUAUGGGUGGUGGAUGGAGGAGACUGUGGUCUGAACGGAUGGUGUUUCUAAUUCAACAACGGUUAAUACACCGACGGCCCCUUAUGAAGUCUGGAGGAGUGGAACCACUGAUGCUAACCUUGGAUCGCGAUCGUCUCGCUCCUGCCCUUUGGAAAGCUUUAAAUGGUUUUUAAGAAGUCUCUUUCCCGACCACGGGAGAGAUGGCUCAGAGAAGCUCACUCAGCAAAGCCUUUGAGGGCCACUCUCCUGCUCCUGGGUGUGGCCGCUUGUCUGAUGCUGCUCCAGAGGAGAGUGUGAGGAAGGAAGUUCUCUCCUCCCUUGCCGACUCCGGAGGACACGAGUGGCGCAGCGAUCCUGGGAAAUUUGGCCCCAUCUGGGUUGGUGGCGGUGGGAUGUAUAGUAUGUGUAAGGCUGUCAUUGAAAACAUAUUACCAGCGAAAAAGGAAGGGCAUGGUUGUUUAAAAACUGUGGUUGCCUGGAUGACUAGUGUAGUGCCUACGAGGUCCCGGGGGCUGUUGCGUUGGCGCCACAGGGAAGAGGCCCUUGGACUAUUCCGAGGACACACCCAGCCCUCCCUGCCCCGGACCUCUUUGGAUGAGGAGUACAUAGUCUCUGAAAUAAGGACUGCCUUGAAGGCCAGCAGAAGACAUUUCACAUGCUUUUGAUUCCAUUUCCGAUUGAGAAACUAAAUUUCUCUCUCCGCUGUCUUAGCAUAAACAGCCAAAAGUA